rnacentral:rRNA from 2 species
UGACUCUGGCCUGAAAUCAGGUAGGACUACCCGCUGAACUUAAGCAUAUCAAUAAGCGGAGGAA